rnacentral:lncRNA from 1 species
AAAAUCCUAACGGAAGAAGAUUUUGAGCCGCUUGCUCGAGCUUACUCUUGUUUUGUGCGUUGUCUUCAAUACAUCUGUGCUUUCAUUACUUCUUUCUUCUGUUGCUUUGUUUUUCGUUGCUUCAUUUUUUUUGUUACCUUGUUUGCUCAUUUUGUUCAAUUCUUUGCUCAACACCCAAGAACCUGCACAACUCUGGUAACAUUUUGGAGAGCCAGCCAAGAGCUUCAGACUCAUUAUUUUUACUUUGAGAUGUCUCAAAAGAAGAAAGAAGCCGUCUCUAAACCAUCUUCCAUAUUAUUAUGUGGUCGUGUCUCUGAAAUACUGUAUGGAAGUAUCUGUGAAGUACUUUGGACCAACUUGAGUCAUACACCCACCAGUUGCUGGAUCAGGAAGGUCAGAGCUAUUCAAAAAGUGUCCAUGAACCAGUUGAAAUUCACCCACCAUUGUUACUACUCUGCAAGCUUGUACAGAGCUUGUACCAAGAAAAAUAUUACCUACGUCACUUAGCAUACUUGUUAGUUCAGCCAAAUUUUUAUUUUAAAGCAGGAAUUUCUUGAUGUUGAUUUAUAUUCUGGAGCAAACUCCGAGGAAGUGGAAGAUUCUGUAUUUAGAAGAAGGAAAACUCCUCAGGGCAGGCAGCACUUCCCACAUAAACCAGACAUAUACUCAAUAAACAAAAAUUCAGUCAACCCAACAUAAAACAAAACAUGAGUUUACAUUCUAGGUACUUAAAAAUAUAUUUUAAUGCAAUUAUCCUUCAUUUCUAUGUGAAGCCUGAGAGAAUCCAGGCUCUGUUAAGUUCACAAAGCCAACAUGCAGUGGAUGGAUGUGUAUAUUUGGUACUCCAAAACCUGUGCUCUGUAUAUUAUAAUACGAUAUACUGAAGACACCAUCAUUUGGCACAGAUUUGAGGAGGGAAGGGUGGAGAGAGGCGGGGAAGGUUAGAGAAAACUUUCUACAGAACUGAGAAUUAAGCUAAGUUUUUAGAUAUUAGCCAGGUUGUCAAGCUGAACCAUGUGGCUGGAGAAGAAUCCCCCACUCCCCGCAUCCCAACCCUGGACAGAGGGAACAGCAUGUGGUAGUCGUGGAAGCUUCCAGUGUUCACAUUGUCAAAGCAAAAAUUGCACCGGCCAAAAUUAACCCGUCAAGGAAGACUUCAUUCAGGCUAACAGAUUCAAUGUCUUAAACCACAGAAGCGUAUUCAUUCACAAUUCUAGAAGCCAGACAUCCAAAAUCAGUAUUACUGGGCCAAAACCAAGAUUUCAACAGGGCCACAUUCUCUCCAGAGGCUCUAGGGGAGAAUCCAACGUUUCUUCUUCCAAAUGCUGAUAGUUGCAGCAUUCCUUGACUCUGGCCACAUCACUCAAGUUAUCUAGAAGAGCAUAUUCAAGUCUUUCUGGACUGCAUCUUCGUAUCACCUUCUCUGUGUAUGUUAACUCUCCUAAUGUCCUCUACAUAAAGACACAUGUGAUUGCAUUUGGAGUCCAAAAUAAUCUCCUCAUCUCAACAUCCUUAAUCACAUCUGUGAAGACCAUUAUUUACCACAUAAGGUAACAUCCACAGGGCUCAGGUGUUAGAAUAUGGAUCUUCUGAGAAGCCACUUUUUAAUCCACUAGAAUGUAUCUAACACAUCAAUGUAUUUCUAAUUUUUUUGUCUUAUAUAAGUUGUUGUGUUUAUCAUUUUGUGUUCAUUUAAAAUAAUAUUUUUCUAUAAUUUUAAUAUUUUUGACAUGGAAAGAAAAAAAAUUUGAAAGACAGACUCCAUAGUAUUAUUUCAUUCACAUAAAAUCAGGGGUUAUCAGUAAUAGUCAUAUUGAGAAAUUUGACUCUCUGGUAGGAAGUGAAUUCUCUUUGUUGGUAUUUGAUAAAGCAUCUCAGUGGUAACUUGUUUUCUGACAUUUGUGCCCCUUUAUCUUCCCAGAUGUCAUCAGUUGCUAGUAUAUCCCAACUUCCCUAUUUUGCUUGAAAGUUGAUUCCAUUGUUACUACUAGGGGCCCAGGGUGAAGUUACAACACAUCAGCUGCUGCAGAGUUCACUUAUUCUAUCUAGUCCUCUCCCACUCUGGUCACCACUCCCUAGAGGCGUGGAUCAUUCUUAGUGCUGAUCUUACCCAUCUGCAGUAGUAUUAUUCCACGCAUAUCCUAGGCUGCAAUUUCUUCCCUUAAGUAGAUAUCACCUCCUUUUUAUCAUUCAGUGAGUCCAGAACUUAACUCUUUGUUCAUGAGUCAAGAUUAAAUGUAUUUUGUAACAUGUUAUUUUUCUUAAUUUGCUACAGGAAAGGCAAUAUUUUUAGUCCACCAUCUUUUCUUUUUCUGUUUUUUUUUUUUUUUUUUUUUUUUGAGACGGAGUCUUGCUCUGUCACCCAGGCUGGAGUACAGUGGCGUGAUCUCGGCUCACUGCAACCUCUGUCUCCUGGGUUCCAGGGAUUCUCCUGCCUCAGCCUCCAGAGUAGCUGGGAUUACAGGCACCCACAACCAUGCCCAGAUAAUUUCUGUAUUUUUAGUAGAGACGGGGUUUCACCAUGUUAGCUAGGCUGGUGUCGAACUCCUGACCUCAGUCUGUCCGCCCGCCUUGGCCUCCCAAAGUGCUGGGAUUACAGGCGCGAACCACCGUGCCUGGCCUCAGCCCACAAUCUUUUCAAAAAUGCAUUAUAGCCUUACAAAGUACCAAGCACACGGUCACAUGACAGGACUUCUUUUCUAACAUGAUUAUACAAUUUAUAACUUCAUAAGGUCAUUAACAUGAGAGAAAUAGAAGAAUUCUGAAAUAUUUGGGGGUAUCAUAAAAGAGUCCACACUGGAGGAAACAUUUGGGAUGGAUCUUAAAAAAUGAGACAGAGAAAGUGAGAAAAGGCUUUACAGGAAUAGCUAAGAAUAUGUGUCAAGAUAAAAAAAUGUGUUAAAAGGCUCUGCAUUCUGUGAAAGGUGAGACAUUUAAUGUCUUCUUAACACAGACAGAGGUAAAAUAAGGGAAGUUUCAGCUUAGAAAAUAAAAUGAGAAAAUUCUAUAAAUUAACUUUUUCAGUAAUUCAGCAAACAAAUAUGUAUCAAAUACCUGUUAUAAUCCAGACAGUUAUUUUGCACUGGCUGCUGCCUUUGCACAUUUAUAUCAAUGAAUCAAGGAGUUUGAAAUUUAUCAUAUGGAAAGAAGGGAAAUAAAAUAUAUUUUUAAUAAUGGAGAUGAAAUUAUUCAAUCUUGUUUCUAGAAACUAGCAUCAAUGGCAAUCUGAAAAAUGGUUUGAAAUAAGAAGAAGCUGGUGGUAUAAACAGGGAGAGGCAAGUGCAGUCUGCUCAGAGCUGGUAGAGUCUGAGCAAACAUUCUGUCAAUGGGAAUAAAA